rnacentral:rRNA from 1 species
UGGGGAAUAUUGCACAAUGGGCGCAAGCCUGAUGCAGCAACGCCGCGUGAGGGACGACGGCCUUCGGGUUGUAAACCUCUUUUGGCAGGGAAGAAGCGCAAGUGACGGUACCUGCAGAAAAAGCACCGGCUAACUACGUGCCAGCAGCCGCGGUGAUACGUAGGGUGCAAGCGUUGUCCGGAAUUAUUGGGCGUAAAGAGCUCGUAGGCGGUUUGUCGCGUCUGCUGUGAAAACCCGAGGCUCAACCUCGGGCCUGCAGUGGGUACGGGCAAACUAGAGUGCGGUAGGGGAGAGUGGAAUUCCUGGUGUAGCGGUUGAAUGCGCAGAUAUCAGGAGGAACACCGAUGGCGAAGGCAGAUCUCUGGGCCGUAACUGACGCUGAGGAGCGAAAGCAUGGGGAGCGAACA